UUUUAAUGGCUAGCAAUGAUCUUGGCACUCGUCGCCGAAGCACAUACAGUACGUCAUCAGCGUGCGCCGUUGAGCGGAAACCCUGUCGUCAAUUUCGCUGGCCGGCCGGCGUGCCCUGCAAUUACUGACCUUUGCUGCUGACACGCAGAGCCGUUGGCGAGCAGGUCCGGCAAGCAGACGCGGCGGCAAGUUCAAGAGCGACACGGCGACCACGCCCGGGCCAGCCUGCACCAAGGCCGCGUCCGCAAACUGCUAUAAAUGCCCGGCCCACCGCCGUCCAGGCAUCACUGUCUGCCGAAGCAACAGAUCGACGCACCAUGAAGGCUUUCGUCUGCUCUUUCCUCGUAGUGCUGCUGGUGGCGGCCGUGUUCGCCCAGGAGAAGGCCAAGGAGACCCUGAAGGGCGCCGAGGCCUACUACGCCUACGCCGCCCCCUACGCCUACAGCGCCUUCGGCUACCCCGCCGUCAGCGCCUACUCCGCCUACCCCUAUGGCGCCGUCGGCUACCCCUACUACUACCGCUAAGAAGACACAAAUUCUGACAUAAUGUCUCCUGUACUGAUUCUUCUGUUUGUCUCUUUUCUCUAAAUGCAACUCUAUCACAAAACAAAAA